AAGUAGUUUUUACCGCAGUUACAGGAACCAAACAAGCUAAUUAUCACUCGCAUUCUUAAACAUUUCCCUGCGCCGGACAGGGUGACCCGGACAGGGUGACCCGGACAGGGUGACCCGGACUGGAUGACCCGGACAGGAUGACCCGGACAGGGUGACCCGGACAGGAUGACCCGGACAGGAUGACCCCGCCUCUCACCCGAAACGUUCACUGGAGAGAGGCACCUCACCCCUGCCGACCCCAGUAGGAAGAUGGGUGUACAGAAAAUGGAUGGAUGGAUUCUUCAACAUUUACCAACAUGGUCCCAUGAAUUAUGGAAAUGGGGAAAGGAAACUGAAGGAAGUUGCUGAGCCGAGGUUUUCUGGAUGAACUGGAUGCACAAAAAAUCCAAACAAAUCAUGCUGGCUUUUGGCUUCGGAGUGGCCUCUUUAAUGCACACCGGGGGCGUGAAGGGCGCCAGGAUCUGACAGCGGCGACGCAGACAAACGAAGGCAAACGGCACAAACACAGGGAGGAAAUAAAGAAACGAUCCGUCUUCCUGACCUUCGUCUGAGUCUGUAGAGGAAUCAAAGAUCCUGCAGGUCACACAGUGAAUGUCCUGAAAGGGAAACAAGGUCACAUGUCGCCGGUUUUAUUUCUGUUGCUGACUGAUCAGGUGCUUAGGAUGAGAACAGCAGCACCUCAGCUGGAGAUCACAGCAAGUCUGCAGAGUUUUUACACUCAGAAGCAACACAAGCAGUGCAGUACUUUAAGAUUUCAUCCAACUAAAGCAUGCAAGUGCACAAAAAGAUCAUUAUCUUAGGGCUCUGGUCUUUACAAAACAUGAUCUUUUUAUUUUGUGCUCCAAAUAAUUUUUUGAUUAUUAAACUUUAGCUGCUUUAGGGCGCCUUGUUGCUUUAAAUCCAAAUAAUCUGCCACCGGCCACGUCCUCUACCUCAACGUUUACCCUCGCACGUGAAAAUGGCUGCAAACAGAUGUUCAAUUCUAGAUCUGUGUAGGUUUGAAAACCAUUAGUGGAGCCUUCUGCACAACCAACAAGAAUGCAGCAAGUAGCUUCAGGAGUCAACAACAAAACUCUUGUCAUUUCCAGCAGCCACUAAAACCAGCUGAAUAAAAGGUACUGGAGCUUAGCCUGGGUUGCUAGGCAACGCCGGAACUGGCUGGGGUUGCUAGGUAACAGGUAAUGUGAAAAUGUGAGUUUUGCGUAAUACGUCCACUUUAAUUGUUUAAGGUUUGGUUUUGUGGUAAAGUCAGAAACUGAUAUAUUGCUUUUUUUUCCCGUGAAAGGUUAGCAUUAGCAUCCUGGUUUUAGAAAAAAAAUGUCCACAAAUGUCCCAGGAGCUGCGUUUCCAUUCACCAUAUAGGUUUGUAAUUUGACAUUUUGAAAAUAAAUUUCUUUAAUAAAAAUAACAAUUUUGAAAAAACAAAUUUUUUGAUAAAAAGUUUUGGCACUAGCAUGUUGUCGUUUUACGGUUUAACAAAAUUGGUUUGUUUUGCAAAACUGCAAUGGAAACAUUUUUAAUCACAUGAGCCACAAGAUCAACAACAGGAAGUUGCUACUGCCAGAAACGGCAGAAGAAGACAGGAAGUAGUUGGAGAAAGAUGGCGCUGGAUGCUUGUAGUGACGUAUCGCUUGAACAAACUUAUCUGAAUGUUGUUAUAAUUGUGAUUCUUAUUUAAUGGAAACACAGAAAUUGAAAAAUUUUGGGUGUUUUUUCAACAUUUCAACAUUAUUGACAAAGUUUUACGUACAUUUGUAAUCUAGACGCAGCUAACUCAUGACUCGGGAUUAUUUCUGCAGAGGAACAAAUCAUUUAUUUUGCCUUUUUUUCAUGAAACAUGAAUAAUAAAUAAAUAGACAUGAUUAUUGUUAUGCAACUCCUCAUGAAUCAACUGUGUAAUCUGUAUUUUUGUGUUACUAAUUUUGAGCUGAUUUAAAUAAUUGGUGCAGAACAUUUUAGUGAAAAUCAGCCUUUAUAUUUCUUAAUUUAUUUACAGUGUGUCAAAGAGGUUUGUGUGAAUUUGCAUUAAAGGUUGAAUAUUGAUAAGAUCAUUUAUCACUUUCAGCUGGUUGUCAGAGGUUUUCCAUUUCCCUCCCUCUAAUCGCCUGAUAGUUCAGCCUUUUCUGAGGAAAUGAAUGUUUUUGUCUUGAUUGCUUUAAUUGUUAUGGACUUUUAAUGAAUAAACACGUCAAGGAUGUUCAUUUCAAAC